rnacentral:rRNA from 1 species
UACGGAAGGGGCAAGCGUUGUUCGGAAUCAUUGGGCGUAAAGGGCGCGUAGGUGGUUCUGUAUGUCUGCCGUGAAAGCGUACGGCUCAACCGUAUUUUGUCGGUAGAAACUGCAGGACUUGAGGCUGGGAGGGGCUGGUGGAAUUCCCUGUGUAGCGGUGAAAUGCGUAGAUAUGUGGAGGAACACCGAUGGCGAAGGCAGCCCCCUGGGUCGACACUGACGCUCAUGCACAAAAGCGUGGGGAGCAAACAGG